rnacentral:lncRNA from 1 species
UUAGAAUUUAGUUGUUACUGUUUAGAAUCUGAUUGAUUGGAUCUGUUUUUUCUAACCCCUGCCCUCCAUUUUCGCCAGAACUCUCGCUGGUUCUUUUGGAUCUGGAUUGCGAGAGGUUUGAUGAUUUGUGUCCCUUUUUGUAUAGGGUGUUCUAUUUCGUCGGAGCAUUUUUUUGUCUGAGUUCUCGCCAGAUUCUGGUUUAGGAUUUCUUGCCAGAAUCUAGGUUCGGAAUGGGUCCUUUGUUUCCAG